AGUCAUUAAAAGGGUGCCAGCAAAACCAUGGAAGUCAUCUUCUGAAUGAUCAAAGCAAUAGACUUUCUAUGAUGAGAAACACAUUAAUCCCUUCUUCUACAAAGUAGAGUAUUUCCUGUCCAUCAGUGCUGGAUUGGAUCUAGCUAUGGGGGAUGUGGCUGUAUGAUUGUGUCUCCAUCCACAAGUCUCAUGGAAUCACCAACAAACAAAUCUGAGCUUCCAUCAUCUGUACUUCCCAAGAGGCCUUCUCAGGGAUCUCAGCAUGGGAUGUGUCUGGCAUUACACAGUAGUGAACAGAGUAGCAAUGCUUUCACCUCUAAGUCCCCAUUGUCAUCGUCGUCGACCUUGCUCCUGUACGAUAGAGGUGAUACAUCACCGGAGUCAGUGCGUAGCUUGAGUAGUCUGAGCAGUGCCAGAACAGAUAGUCCUCUGGAUGUGGACAUGCCAGAGGUGGAGAUGGGAAAAGCAACAGCCAGCAGUGAUGAUUCUGGCAUGCAGAGCCCAGACUGCAGACCAGACUACAGUGAGGACAACGACAACUCCGUGUCUGUCUAUCUGGAUGCUAAUGAAGACUGUUGGAGUGACAAUGACAACAACAAUGUCACUUUGGUGGUAACACAAAAGGUUGGCCAAGCUGAUGGUGAUGAUACAUCCUUGUGCUCUUCAGAAAACGGCGAUGAUGAUGAUGACACUGAAGAGAAGGAGGAAGAAGACUCUUUUCUUUCUUUAGCCUCUGUAGAAUUAAUAAUGAAGAGCCAAGUUGGUGUCUCUGAUCUGGAAGUCUCUACCAGCUCUGACGUGGUGAUGCCAAUCAGUGUUUCACCAGAAGGCGAACAAGCAGAAGUUCCUAACAUGGCUGUGGUGAAUGAAUACCAAAGGGAAGUUGUGUAUGAAAAAGAGGAAGUUGUGUUGUCUACAGCCAUUCAAGAAACUGAUGUCAUGAAUGAGACAGUGGUGUCUCUUGAAAAUACUCCUAUAACAGAUACCAGAAACAUAACUUCUUACAUCUCAAAAGAGGAAAACCAGCCAAAGUCCACAGCAAAAAAGACCAGUGAUCUGGAAGGACGUGUUUAUUCCAAGCCUCCUACAAGGGCUGCUCUGACCAAAGCCACAAAACCUGAGGUGAAGAGGUUCCCCAGGCCAGACCUGAGGAACGUGAAGGCCAAGAUCAUCUCCAGGGCUGUCUCUGCACCAAGAUCAGCCAAUCCCGCAAAAACAAACACUAAUGUUAACCAGUCAGCUUCAGGAAGUGUGAAGAUUCAUGCUAGUAGGAAGGUGGAAAAUAAAGCUGUUGGAACAAGAAGUAGAUCAUCAUCAAACCAUACAAGAGGUAAAGAAACAAAGAUGGUGGUCAGUGGCGGUCAAGAGAAAGAUGUAAACACUUUAUCCUUGCCGACACAAGGAGAAGAAACAAUGAAGUCAGAAUAUCCUCCUUCAAUUGAUUUUAAAGAUGAAGAAGAGCCUCAACUUGAGAAAGAAGCUGGGGAAGAAACCUCUAAGAGCACCAGCAAGACUGUGUCUUCCAAGUUGGGACCAUCUCUAGGGACUAACAGUACCUCCACCUCUGGACCCCCAGAAACCAGACUGAAGCCCUCUAACCGAGAAGCCCGACCCACAGGUAGUAUGGGUCCACCGGGAGGCCGAGCGGUUCAGCCGGCUGGUAUCCCAAGGAUGCGCAGCACAGACAAGUCCACAGUACCCUGCAGUCCCACUUCUGUUUCCAGCCCUUCUUAUAAAGGUCCUCAGAAAGCUGCAUCUUCCAAACUACCUGUCAAAGGCCUACCCACAAGCCCCAGCAGCUCAUCACUGGGAAGUACAAUCAGCGAAAGCAACAAUAUUGCUGUAAACAAAGGUGCGUGUCUGUAAGAGAUCAAGUC
rnacentral:lncRNA from 1 species